GAACUGCUGGAACUCAACUGAACUCAACUGAAUUCCACUGAACUCAACUGAUCUCCACUGCAUUGCUUGAACUCAACCAAACUGAACUUACUGCACCACCGUCCACCUGACUCACUCUGCCUGUCCUUAGGUUCACUAGUGAAUAUUCACUGCAAUGAGUUUCUGGUCUGAUCUGAGAUCUCUGGCUUCUGGGACACCAUCAAUAUUGACUCCUCACCUGGAAUCCACAUGGUAAUCCUGUUGCUGCCUUGUGUCAUGGAGAUCCUGCAGCUUUGGGUCAGCAUGACUGACCCUUUCACGCUGAUCCAAGAGUUCACAGUUGAUGCAGAUUUUGGAGUGGGUCAACUCAAAGCCCUGGAUCUGGGCCUGGGGGUAGCUGAGAUGCUCAGCCAGCUGGCUUUCUUUUAUCUGAAUCACCAGGGAAGUGCCCAUGAAGACGAGAAAGGGACGUAGAACUCCUGGAUCUGGAGUGUCAGAUGGUUGUGAGCUGCCAUUUGAAUGCUGGGAACAAAACACAGGUCCUGCGUGACUCCCAAGCAACCCCAGCAGCAAGUCUACCAGCAAACGUAUGCAUCAGGGCCUGGUCCCAGGACAUCCCAUCUAGAAUAUGGGAAAAACCUUGCUGUACAGUGAGCUGAAACCAGGAGCCUGUGUGAUGUACCCACAGUAACACAACUCCCAAGGGCACCACUGACAGGAACUAUGACACCACACUACGGUUUCUCUCUCCACUUUUUGCUUUUGACAUGCAGCUCAAUCCGUGGGGACAGUCCUGCCAGCAAAUAACCCAUUGUUUUCAUGACAGAAAAUUACAUGCCAACAAGUGACAUUUAAAUUCUGAAUUUUAAUCACUUGUCAAAAAGUGAAAUGCAUUUUUAAGAAAUUUAAUAUGAGAGAGCAAUGUGUCUGCUCAUAUAGACAAGAAUGUUAAAAUAAAAUACCUGGAGUCUGUCCCAGAUGACAUCUCUGAUCUGAUGUCCUUCCAGACCUACUAAAGCCUCUGGAUGUGAACGGAAAGCUGCUUCAGGAUCGUGAGAAACACAUAAGACCUGUGGAUCCUAUGGUCAUGGACCCACUGCCACACUUGUCUGGCUAUGAAGUAAGGUCCAUGAUCAGGUGCAAGUGGAAUACCAUGUGGUUGCAACAGUACAGCUGUCCAAUUUUCAGUGAUACCUACAUAACUUACAGAACCAUCAGUACACCAGGGCCUAGAAUUCUUUUCCUCAGUCAACUGAUCAUAAGGCACAUCCAAUGAGGCAUGCUUUGGAGCAAAGAGCAUUGUAGCAGGAAUAGAAGCCACAGAAACUGCACCUUUCUGAACUAGAUGAUCACAUAAGAAUGACAGUCUGAUCUCUGACCAACCAGAGUGAAGCACAGGACCUUUGCAUUAUGGGUGGAAAGCAUAGCUGCCUUCCUGAAAACAUGGCUGACUUCCUGCAGGUGUGAUUGCCUGAUUUCUCACAGCUGGACACACUC
rnacentral:lncRNA from 1 species